GCGACGUUGAAUAGAAUCGCUUCAUCGUCGCGUCGAUGUCGACGAUCGCGUUGCGCACGUCGUGCGUCGCCGCACUGAUCGUGUCGAACGUGUUCGCUAAACGCUCUAUCGCUCGAGCCUGUAACAAAUUCGUCGAAUUAGUAGGUGAGCUCACGGGGCUCAAGCCUGAUGACGUUGCUAGCACGAACCCUAGCAAGAGCCGUGCCUAGCAGAAUCUACCACCGGAUCGGAAUCGCGAGAGAAGAUCUACCGAGAAACUCAGUGGGCUGUGUCUGUAAGUUAAUUUACUCGUCAAGCCCUUCGUUGUUAGCGACGGGUUUGACGAAAACGAUGAUCGGUGCUUGGGGUGGGAGGAGAUGCAUGUGACUAGGAGAUGUAUGUAAAUGGUUGUGCAAGGUAAAGGGGGAAGAGGUCGACCGAAGAAGACAUGGAUGGAGUGUGUGAAUGACGAUAUGAUAGAGAGAGAGAGGAGUGAGUGUUGAGAUGGCGGCUGAGAAGGGAAUGGAAGAGAAAAAUUCGCUGUGCCGACCCCACCUAGUGGGAUAAGGAGAAGACAAAGAAGAAAGUAUUACAAGUAACUAUACAAACUACAGGCCCAGUGAGGACCUGACAGUACCCUGGUAUUGGUACCAGUAUUACUGAUAUCCAAGAUCGACGGUGACCACUCACCACCAAGCAGGCAGUACUAACGUCCACUGCUAACGUCACUAAAUUUGAUGAGGUCAAACAGACUAUGUAAUGCAUUGUGUGUACCAGUUUCUCCAUUACCGCCAUUUGCCUCUCCUCAGCAUCGGCGACGGGUUCCUCGAACGCCAGCACCGGAUCGGAUUCAACAUGGUUCUGAUCCAUGCUGUCUUCGUUAAAAAAGUUAUCUUCAGUAUAAUGAGAUUCUUGUUUCACAGCACCUCGAUUUGUUCCUGUGGAUUUUCAUUGCAGAUUAUGCUUUGACACUUUAAAUAGGAUAAAUAAGAAUUGUUCACACUUGAAAUUAUGCAUUGAGCAUUUCUGAGCUAGUAGACUUAUUUAGACAGUACGCAUAUAAUAUAACAUAUAUAAUUAUGCAUAUCUUAUAAUCUUGAUUUCAAAUAUUCUUAUUGUUGGCUGUGAACACAAUGUAAAAUGUACAUUUUGCAAAGGUAUCAUGAAUUUAAUUAUAAUUAUUUUUAAUUGCUACUCGCUUUUUUUAUUGUUAUUUUAUUAUUUGCGACGUUUCGAAUAAUUACAGUUACUGUGGUUUCACAGACGAUGGUCAUUCUGACUGACGAAUAUUAAAUCAUAUAAGUAGUUUUAAAUGUCUAUGAGUAGCAAAAACCAACCCUAUUGUUAUCAAUAGAAAAUUUAGUAUUAUAAAUGUGAGAUCAAAUCUUUCAAAUAGUUUUAUAAUACAAUUACAAUUACAAUUUAUCAAACAAUAUUUAUUUUAAUAAAACUUACUUGAAUUAUCAUUUGCUAAGAAAACAUCCCAUAUUUUCUUCUCAAUGUUAGAACAUAGGCUAUUUGGAUCCCCACCACAUCCUUGUACUUUUGAUCUUACUGUAGAUUUUUUGUCAGCCCAGUACUGUAAAACAGAGUUUGAUAGGUUCUUAAUUAUGGGAAUAUUCCCAAAUAAUGAAAACGCUUUCGAACAAGUAUUUAUGAAGCCAUAAUUCUUCAACAACAGCAAUAAAGUUUUAUUUUUACAGGU